AAGGAGACGCGCCAAUCCUACUUGGAACAUGGCUCUCAGGCCCCAGAGGACUUUCAGGCGGCGCCAGGUCGAGUCCAGCGAUAGCGAUAGCGAUAGCGACGGCGCGAAGGAGCAGAGUGCGGAGGAGCCGGCGUCUGCCGGCGGCCGAACAGAGGGAGCGGAGCGGCCGCGCGGGGCCCGCAGCGCCCGGGGCCGAGGUCGGGUCUGGGCGAGUUCCCGCCGCAGCCCGGGAGCUGCUCCCCGCGGGGACGGCGGAGCAGAAUGCAGAACAGCUGAGCUCUCAACGGAUGAAGAGGAAGGAACACAUACCUUGACAGGAAGUAAGGGUGAUCGGAGUCCGUCCUCUGAUAGCUCUUGCUCUCUGGAAGAAAGAGACGUUUCACCCAUAGUUGAGAUCCCCGAUGCAGCUUUUAUUCAGGCAGCCCGCAGAAAACGGGAGUUGGCCAGGACCCCAGGGGACUACAUUUCAUUGGAUGUAAACCACUCCUGCUCCACUUCUGACUGUAAGAGAAGCAAUGAAGAGGACCCAGAGAGCGAUCCUGAUGACCACGAAAAGAGAAUACUGUUUACCCCAAAGCCUCAAACACUCCGGCAAAGAAUGGCUGAAGAAACGUCAAUCAGGAGUGAGGAAUCAAGUGAAGAGAGUCAGGAAGAUGAAAACCAAGACAUCUGGGAGCAGCAGCAGAUGAGGAAAGCAGUCAGGAUCCCGGCGCAUGGCACAAACAGAGCCACCUUGGAAGACGGAAUGUCAGCGGGGAACUGCAUUCAUCCAGUUGGACUCUGGACAAGACAGGGUCUCUGUGUGCAGCCCUGGCUGCCCUGGGACUCGUCUAUAGAUGAGACAGACAUCACACACACAGAGACCGUCCUGCCUCUGCUGUCUGAGUGCUGGAAGAUAAGGCAUUUGCCACAAUGCCUGGCUGGAAAAAUAGGGACAAAAUACAGACCUUUCCCACAGCAGUAAGUCUCAAACCCUGAAGAAGUUUGAUACUUCCAUUUCAUUUCCACCGGUAAAUUUGGAAAUUAUAAAGAAACAGUUAAAUAAUAGAUUAACAUUACUACAGGAGUCUCAUCGCUCACACCAGAGAGAAUAUGAAAAAUAUGAACAAGACAUCAAGAGUUCAAAGACGGCUAUCCAGAAUCUUGAGAGUGCAUCAGACCAUGCUCAAAACUACAGAUUCUACAGGGGCAUGAAAAGUUAUGUGGAAAAUAUAAUUGAUUGUCUAAAUGAAAAGAUUGUCAGCAUUGUGGAACUAGAAUCAUCCAUGUACACGUUGCUUUUAAAACGGUCAGAAGCACUUUUGAAACGCAGGCAAGAUGAAUUAAAAUGCGAAUCAUCAUAUUUGCAGCAGUUAUCACGCAAAGAUGAGACAUCGGCAAAUGGAAGCUUGGCUGUGGAUGAAAAGGAUCAACGGAUUUUAGAAGAGAUUGAAGCUCGGAGGAUGCAGAGAAGACAGGCCAGGGAGCUCUCGGGCAGCUGUGACCAUCAGGAAGGGAUGUCUAGUGAUGAUGAGCUGUCUCCUGCAGAGAUGACUAACUUCCACAAGUGCCAAGGUGACAUUUUACAGGAUUGUAAGAAAGUUUUUGAAGAUGUGCAUGAUGAUUUUUGUAACGUCCAGAAUAUUUUAUUGAAAUUUCAGCAGUGGCGAGAAAAGUUUCCUGAUUCCUACUAUGAAGCCUUCGUUGGUUUCUGCUUACCAAAGCUUUUAAGUCCCCUGAUACGAGUUCAGUUGCUUGACUGGAAUCCUCUUAAGAUGGACUCCAUAGGUCUAGACAAGAUGCCCUGGUUCACAGCUAUAACAGAGUUUAUGGAGAGCAGCAUGGACGAUAUAGGGAAGGAAGAUGGUUCUGAUAAAAAAAUCUUGGCUGCUGUCAUCAACAAAACAGUUGUUCCUCGACUUACAGAUUUUGUAGAGACCAUUUGGGAUCCCCUGUCAACCUCACAGACAAGAAGUUUAACAGUGCACUGCAGAGUGGCUUUUGAACAGUUCGCUUCUGAAAAUGAAGUUAGUAAAAAUAAACAGGAUUUACUUAAAUCUAUUGUUGCAAGAAUGAAGAAGUCAAUAGAAGAUGAUAUUUUUAUUCCUCUAUACCCAAAGAGCUCUGAAGAAGGAAAAAUGUCACCACACUCCAAGUUCCAAGAAAGACAGUUCUGGGGAGCUCUAAAGCUCUUCCGAAAUAUUCUUCUUUGGAAUGGCCUUCUCCCAGAUGACACCUUGCAAGAUCUGGGACUGGGGAAGCUGCUGAAUCGCUACCUUAUCAUCUCUCUUACUAAUGCCGUCCCUGGACCAGAUGUGGUUAAAAAGUGCAGCCAGAUAGCAGCAUGUCUACCAGAAAGAUGGUUUGAGAACUCUGCUAUGAGGACAUCAAUUCCCCAGCUAGAAAACUUCAUUAAGUUUUUGUUGCAGUCUGCACAGAAAUUAUCCUCAAGUGAAUUCAGGAAUGAAGUCAGUGAAAUAAUUCUUAUCCUGGUGAAGGUAAAAGCUCUGACUCAAGCCGAAUCCCUCAGAGAAGAGCGUCCCCUGGAGCCCCUCCCAGCCCAGAGUACAGGUGUUUGAGUGCGCCGUGUGGGAGUGCCCAGAGUCAAGAUGACCGUGUCACAGCCGAUGCCGCCUUUGCUGGGUGCCCACUUGGGGUGUGGCCAGGCCUCCUGAUGCUUCGUAGCUGAGGGAAGUAAUGCACAGCAGCAGCCGAGCUCAGUGUGCUGCUCUUUUACUCUCUCAAUCCGGAAGGAAAUGAAGCAAUCUGACACACAGAAGCAUGCCUGAAUCAAAACCAUCUUCAGCAAACUCCAAUGUUUGCAGAUCAGCUAAUGAGGAAGCUCUAUCUCUGGAUGGUUUCUUUUAUCUUAUUCUUUGGUGGGGACUCGGUCUCAUUCUGAAGUGUAAGGAAUUACUUAUUAAAUAGCUAACACAUUUUUAUACAAACUGUCCUUUCAAAAUCUGUACUGACUUACUGUGUGAAAUCAGUGCAAGAGAGUGCCAGUGAUCUCCAGAUUUUGAUUCAUUGUCAAUUUGUUAAAAAAAAAAAAACUUUGAAAAAAGAUUUAUUUUUAUAUGUGUGGUCAUGUAUGUACCUGGGUGGGUUUAGCACUACCUCCAUGUAGGGGCCAGAGGGCAUCAGGUCCCCUGGAACUGGAAUCCAGGAGGUUGUGGGCCAUCUAAUGUGCUUGGAACCAAACCCAGGUCCUCAGAAGAGAUCUUCACCCUCCCUGUGAAGAAUGAAGCUGUGGUCUGAGUCAUCUGUAAGUCCUUAAGUGAGGCUUUUUUGCUAUGUUUUGUGUAACUCAUGGUAGGACUAAAAAGGCCAUUGCUCUUUUAAAUACAGAAAUGUAAAGUAUUUCUCUAAUUAAGGUAGUCUGAGGCAAGGUGAUUAAGAAAUUAUGAACUUUUCUCAAAAUGACUGUAUUAAUGUUCUUAAGUAUAUUUGUUAAGCAACUCAAUGAUGAUCCUGUAUUUAUUUUUCCGUGUUGUCACUUUAGACAUUUGCUCGUUACAAAAGCAUGUGUAUAUGUGUGCAGAAAGUUUUGUAUAUAAAUGGCAGAGACUUUAUUUUUGCUGUUAAAGGGCACUUUUGGAAA